GACGGGGUUAACUUAAAAGGUAAAACACACCGAACUUAUACAAACUUUGGACGGUUUUGAAUCGGCUAUCUUACUUUUCAAAAUUAAUUUUGAUUUUACUAUACGAUCUUUUAAUUUGUUUGGUUUAAGUCAGUCAAUAAUAAUUUGCUAUAAAAUUUAAACUAAUUACUUAUUUCAAUAAACUUAUAAUUGGGAGAUUGCAUGAAAUAUACUAACUAAACCUAUAAAAAUAAAUGACACAUUCAAAUUUUGAGAUCAAAGUGCUAUUUUAGUUCGUAAAAUCAAAAUUUUGAAAGGCUGGGAAUAGCCAAAUCAACAUGAUUCAUAA
rnacentral:lncRNA from 1 species